GACGAACGCUGGCGGCGUGCUUAACACAUGCAAGUCGAACGGAAAGGCCCUGCUUUUGUGGGGUGCUCGAGUGGCGAACGGGUGAGUAACACGUGAGUAACCUGCCCUUGACUUUGGGAUAACUUCAGGAAACUGGGGCUAAUACCGGAUAGGAGCUCCUGCUGCAUGGUGGGGGUUGGAAAGUUUCGGCGGUUGGGGAUGGACUCGCGGCUUAUCAGCUUGUUGGUGGGGUAGUGGCUUACCAAGGCUUUGACGGGUAGCCGGCCUGAGAGGGUGACCGGCCACAUUGGGACUGAGAUACGGCCCAGACUCCUACGGGAGGCAGCAGUGGGGAAUAUUGCACAAUGGGCGGAAGCCUGAUGCAGCAACGCCGCGUGCGGGAUGACGGCCUUCGGGUUGUAAACCGCUUUCGCCUGUGACGAAGCGUGAGUGACGGUAAUGGGUAAAGAAGCACCGGCUAACUACGUGCCAGCAGCCGCGGUGAUACGUAGGGUGCGAGCGUUGUCCGGAUUUAUUGGGCGUAAAGGGCUCGUAGGUGGUUGAUCGCGUCGGAAGUGUAAUCUUGGGGCUUAACCCUGAGCGUGCUUUCGAUACGGGUUGACUUGAGGAAGGUAGGGGAGAAUGGAAUUCCUGGUGGAGCGGUGGAAUGCGCAGAUAUCAGGAGGAACACCAGUGGCGAAGGCGGUUCUCUGGGCCUUUCCUGACGCUGAGGAGCGAAAGCGUGGGGAGCGAACAGGCUUAGAUACCCUGGUAGUCCACGCUGUAAACGGUGGGUACUAGGUGUGGGGUCCAUUCCACGGGUUCCGUGCCGUAGCUAACGCUUUAAGUACCCCGCCUGGGGAGUACGGCCGCAAGGCUAAAACUCAAAGGAAUUGACGGGGCCCCGCACAAGCGGCGGAGCAUGCGGAUUAAUUCGAUGCAACGCGUAGAACCUUACCUGGGUUUGACAUGGAUCGGGAGUGCUCAGAGAUGGGUGUGCCUCUUUUGGGGUCGGUUCACAGGUGGUGCAUGGCUGUCGUCAGCUCGUGUCGUGAGAUGUUGGGUUAAGUCCCGCAACGAGCGCAACCCUUGUUCACUGUUGCCAGCACGUUAUGGUGGGGACUCAGUGGAGACCGCCGGGGUCAACUCGGAGGAAGGUGGGGAUGACGUCAAGUCAUCAUGCCCCUUAUGUCCAGGGCUUCACGCAUGCUACAAUGGCUGGUACAGAGAGUGGCGAGCCUGUGAGGGUGAGCGAAUCUCGGAAAGCCGGUCUCAGUUCGGAUUGGGGUCUGCAACUCGACCUCAUGAAGUCGGAGUCGCUAGUAAUCGCAGAUCAGCAACGCUGCGGUGAAUACGUUCCCGGGGCUUGUACACACCGCCCGUCAAGUCAUGAAAGUUGGUAACACCCGAAGCCGGUGGCCUAACCGUUGUGGGGGAGCCGUCGAAGGUGG
rnacentral:rRNA from 1 species